GCCCACAUGACCCAAUGGCAGAGGUGCGCGGUACCGGCCCCCUCGGGGGGACCCGUACACAAUCCGCAGAGUUCCCGGUUCGACUCCGGGUGUGGGCA
rnacentral:tRNA from 1 species